rnacentral:rRNA from 1 species
UACGAAGGGGGCUAGCGUUGCUCGGAAUCACUGGGCGUAAAGGGUGCGUAGGCGGGUCUUUAAGUCAGGGGUGAAAUCCUGGAGCUCAACUCCAGAACUGCCUUUGAUACUGAAGAUCUUGAGUUCGGGAGAGGUGAGUGGAACUGCGAGUGUAGAGGUGAAAUUCGUAGAUAUUCGCAAGAACACCAUUGGCGAAGGCGGCUCACUGGCCCGAUACUGACGCUGAGGCACGAAAGCGUGGGGAGCAAACAGG